rnacentral:rRNA from 1 species
AUGAACGCUGGCGGCGUGCCUAACACAUGCAAGUCGAGCGAGAAGCUGAUGACCGAUUCUUCGGAUGAGAGAUUCAGUGGAAAGCGGCGGACGGGUGAGUAACGCGUAGGCAACCUGCCCUUUGCAGAGGGAUAGCCAUUGGAAACGAUGAUUAAAACAUCAUAAUACCUUUUUCCUGCAUAGGAGAGAGGUCAAAGAUUUAUCGGCAAAGGAUGGGCCUGCGUCUGAUUAGCUGGUUGGUGGGGUAACGGCUCACCAAGGCGACGAUCAGUAGCCGACCUGAGAGGGUGAUCGGCCACAUUGGAACUGAGACACGGUCCAAACUCCUACGGGAGGCAGCAGUGGGGAAUAUUGCACAAUGGGCGAAAGCCUGAUGCAGCAACGCCGCGUGAAGGAGGAAGGCCUUCGGGUCGUAAACUUCUGUCCUUGAGGAAGAAGAAAUGACGGUACUCAAGGAGGAAGCCCCGGCUAACUACGUGCCAGCAGCCGCGGUAAUACGUAGGGGGCAAGCGUUAUCCGGAAUUAUUGGGCGUAAAGAGUGCGUAGGUGGUUACCUAAGCGCAGGGUAUAAGGCAAUGGCUCAACCAUUGUUGGCCCUGCGAACUGGGCUACUUGAGUGCAGGAGAGGAAAGCGGAAUUCCUAGUGUAGCGGUGAAAUGCGUAGAUAUUAGGAGGAACACCAGUGGCGAAGGCGGCUUUCUGGACUGUAACUGACACUGAGGCACGAAAGCGUGGGGAGCAAACAGGAUUAGAUACCCUGGUAGUCCACGCCGUAAACGAUGAGCACUAGGUGUCGGGGCCGCAAGGCUUCGGUGCCGCAGUCAACGCAUUAAGUGCUCCGCCUGGGGAGUACGCACGCAAGUGUGAAACUCAAAGGAAUUGACGGGGGCCCGCACAAGCAGUGGAGUAUGUGGUUUAAUUCGACGCAACGCGAAGAACCUUACCAGGGCUUGACAUAUAGAGGAAUAACUAAGAGAUUAGUUAGCUCUUCGGAGUCUCUAUACAGGUGGUGCAUGGUUGUCGUCAGCUCGUGUCGUGAGAUGUUGGGUUAAGUCCCGCAACGAGCGCAACCCUUGCCAUUAGUUGCCAGCAGUAAGAUGGGCACUCUAAUGGGACCGCCGGGGACAACUCGGAGGAAGGUGGGGAUGACGUCAAAUCAUCAUGCCCCUUAUGUUCUGGGCUACACACGUGCUACAAUGGCGCAUACAAAGAGAAGCGACCUCGCGAGAGCAAGCGGACCUCAUAAAGUGCGUCGUAGUCCGGAUUGGAGUCUGCAACUCGACUCCAUGAAGUCGGAAUCGCUAGUAAUCGUGGAUCAGAAUGCCACGGUGAAUACGUUCCCGGGCCUUGUACACACCGCCCGUCACACCAUGAGAGUUGGAAAUACCCGAAGCCUGUGAGCUAACCUAUGAGGCAGCAGUCGAAGGUAGAGCCAAUGAUUGGGGUG